UCCUACGGGGGGCAGCAGUGAGGAAUAUUGGUCAAUGGGCGGAAGCCUGAACCAGCCAAGUCGCGUGAGGGAAUAAGGCCCUACGGGACGUAAACCUCUUUUGCCGGGGAGCAAGGGCGGGGACGUGUCCCGGCCCGGAGAGUACCCGGAGAAAAAGCAUCGGCUAACUCCGUGCCAGCAGCCGCGGUAAUACGGAGGAUGCGAGCGUUAUCCGGAAUUAUUGGGUUUAAAGGGUGCGUAGGCGGGCUUUUAAGUCAGCGGGAAAAAUUCGGGGCUCAACCCCGGCCGGCCGUUGAAACU
rnacentral:rRNA from 1 species